rnacentral:rRNA from 1 species
UGGGGAAUAUUGCACAAUGGGCGCAAGCCUGAUGCAGCCAUGCCGCGUGUAUGAAGAAGGCCUUCUGGUUGUAAAGUACUUUCAGUCGGGAGGAAGGUGGUAAGGUUAAUAACCUUAUCAAUUGACGUUACCGACAGAAGAAGCACCGGCUAACUCCGUGCCAGCAGCCGCGGUAAUACGGAGGGUGCAAGCGUUAAUCGGAAUUACUGGGCGUAAAGCGCACGCAGGCGGUCUGUCAAGUCGGAUGUGAAAUCCCCGGGCUCAACCUGGGAACUACAUUCGAAACUGGCAGGCUAGAGUCUUGUAGAGGGGGGUAGAAUUCCAGGUGUAGCGGUGAAAUGCGUAGAGAUCUGGAGGAAUACCGGUGGCGAAGGAGGCCCCCUGGACAAAGACAGACGCUCAGGUGCGAAAGCGUGGUGAGCAAGCAGG